rnacentral:rRNA from 1 species
UACGUAGGGUGCAAGCGUUGUCCGGGAUUAUUGGGCGUAAAGAGCUCGUAGGCGGUCUGUCGCGUCUGGUGUGAAAACUCAAGGCUUAACCUUGGGCCUGCAUCGGGUACGGGCAGACUAGAGUGCGGUAGGGGAGACUGGAAUUCCUGGUGUAGCGGUGAAAUGCGCAGAUAUCAGGAGGACCACCGGUGGCGAAGGCGGGUCUCUGGGCCGAUACUGACGCUGAGGAGCGAAAGCGUGGGGAGCGAACAGG